UUAAAAUAAAUAUAUUUAAAAUUAAAAAUAAAUAUUUAUUCAUAAGAUUUUGUUAUAGAUCUUUUGAAACGCUUUGUUGUAUUUCAUUUUUUUCCUAUCUACGCAUGCAUUCGAUAUGAUAUCAAAUUUGAUGAUUGAAAUCUUUUUUAUUGCAAAUUGCGAUAAUCUUAAUUUUAUGAUAUUUUAUUUAUGAUCUAUUAAAAACCAGUGCAUAUAAUAUUUUGUCAUCGCCUUUUUUCUUUUUUUUUUGUUCACUUAAUAUUAUAUAUUAUGCACAUAUAACCAAUUUUCUUAAAAAUAACAGGAAGUAAUAUGAAAUAUUACUUCUUUAAUAAUAUUAAAGAAACAAUGGAUCUAAUUAAAAAUAGAUCAAAUUAUAAAAACAAAAUAAUAAAAUAAUUUCCUACUCGCUAUUUCGCAUGAUAAAUUCAUACAUGUUGUUGUUUGACAGAAAUAUAAUUUAAAACGAUACUUAUAUAAGAAUAAGUACAAAAGAUAAUUUGUAUUCACUUUGUUACAUUAAAAACUUAAUGAAUAUUCGAUGUAUGAUUUUAAAGAAGCAGUUGAUUCAUUAAUCAGAUA